GUGUUGCAUGAAAGCAAAAAAAAGACACACCUCCUAUGACAAGGACAUAAGAGAUCACAGUAGCCUCUGCCACAGAGUUAUGGUUAAAGUACUGCUACUUACUUUGUAGCAUCUAACUAGUUUUU
ensembl:snRNA